CAAAAAUUUCCUAGGCAACCAUUAAGUACCAAAUUAUGAAGAAAUUAUUUAAAAUAUACUGACAAACUGUCAGACUAUAGGAGCAAAUUUGAGUAUCAAAUUAGACUAUCUCCGUAAUCAUCUGCAUACAUUUUUGGAAAAAUUUGGAAAUUAUAGUAAGGAACAGAGAGAAAGGUUCAACCAGGAUCUAAAAGUGAUGGAAAAAUGGUAUCAAGGCUGUUGAGAUCGUCAUAUGAUAGCAGAUUACUGCUAGUCCUUAAAAAGUUAAUGUCACCAGGAAAAUUAUAAAAGAAAACCUCAUAAAAGGUUUUAUUGAAAUAUGUGCAAAAUGGAAAUCAAGAUUUUAAAUUUAACGAGAGCAAAUCUUACCAAAUUAUUGAUAGUUUCAUGAACCUUGGGCACAAAUAUAUCCAAAACCGAUCUUAUAUCUAAGGCAACAAAGCCACUGUAAUUUAUCAUAUCUGGAUUUCGUCUGGUACAAAAGAACACAUGGUCACCUUUUCGUGAAAUCCAAUAACAGAUGAAUAUUGCUCUAUUGUCAUAUUUGCUGCCAUAACACAAGGAAUAUAUUCCUGCCACUUCCUCGGUACCGAUUCGCUGAUUGCUGCAUUACUCUUUCAUCCUGACUUUUUAGGCGAGUGCUAUUUGUUUCAUCAGUGUAUAUAAUAAGGUUCAAAUUUUGAUUGAAAUUGAAGUUUGUAUACCUAGGGUAGAUUUGAAUUCAGCUUUGUCCACAUAUCACGGAUUGGAGUUGCCUUAUCUUCUUUUAUCCGUUGACUUCGAGAGUUAUCGAACAUUAAAAAGCGUAUAAUAUUUUGGAA